rnacentral:lncRNA from 1 species
ACAAAAAUUCUUGUUAUCCUAUUUUCUAAUUCACAAUCCCAAAUCUAAAAUAAUUCUCUAUAAAAAUGAAAACUUUCCAAAAUAGAAUUUGUGAGAAUUUUAUUUUAAAAAUACAACCUAUCACCCAAAAAAUCUAAAACAAUACUCAUAUGUCAACAAAAAAUCUUGUUAUCCUAAUUUCUAAAUCACAAUCCCAAAUGUACAAUAUUUUUUCUAUAAAAUUCACAAAUUUCUUAAAAUAGAAUUUGUAAGAAUUUUAUUUAUAUAAUACAAUCUAUUUAUUAAAAAAAUCUAAACAAUACUUAUCUACACAAAAAAGUUUUUGUUAUCCUUGUUUUAAAUCACAAUCCAGAAUCUACAAUAUUUCUCUAUAAAGAUGAAAACUUUCCUAAAAUAGAAUUUUUGAGAAUUUUAUUUUAAAAAUACAUCUUGUUGAUCAAAAAAUCUAAAAUUGUACCCAUAUAUCAACAAAAAUUCUUGUUAUCAUAGUUUCUAAAUCACAAUCUUAAAUCUACAAUAUUUCUCUAUAGAAAUGAAAACUUUCCUAAAAUCGAAAUUUUGCAAAUUUUAUUUAAAAAUACAAGCUAUUGAUAAAAAAAUCUAAAACAAUACUUAUUUAUCAACAAAAAUUCUUGUUAUCCUAGUUUCUAAUUCACAACCCCAAAUUUAAAAUAUUUCUCUAUAAAAAUGAAAACGUUCGAAAAAUAGAAUUUGUGAGAAUUUUAUUUAAAAAUACAACCUAUCACCCAAAAAAUCUAAAACAAUACUCAUCUAUCAAUAAAAAUUCUUUUUAUCCUAAUUUCUAAAUCACAAUCCCAAAGGUAUAAUUUUUCUCUAUAAAAUUGACAACUUUCCUAAAAUAAAAUAUUUAAGAAUUUUAUUUAUAAAAUACAAUCUAUUGAUCAAAAAAUCUUAAACAAUACUCAUCUAUCAACAAAAAUUCAUAUUAUCCUAGUUUCUUAAUCACAGCCCCAUAUCUACAAUAUUUACCUUUAAAAACGACAACUUUCCUAAAAUAGAAUUUUUAAGAAUUUUAUUUAUAAAAUACAACAUAUUGAUAAAAACAUCUAAAACAAUACUCAUCUAUCAAAAACAAUUUUUGUUAUCUUAUUUUCUAAUUCACAAUCCCAAAGGUACAAUGUUUCUCUAUAAAAUUGACAAUUUUCCUAAAAUUGAAUAUUUAAGAAUUUUAUUUAUAAAAUACAAUCUAUUGAUUAAAAAAUCUUAAACAAUACUCAUCUAUCAACAAAAAUUCUUAUUAUCCUUGUUUCUUAAUCACAGCCCCAAAUCUACAAUAUUUACCUUUAAAAAUGACAACAUUCCUAAAAUAGAAUUUUUAAGAAUUUUAUUUAUAAAAUACAAACUAUUGAUAAAAAAAUCUAAAACAAUACUCAUCUAUCAACAAAAAUUCUUGUUAUCCUAGUUUAUAACUCACAAUCUCAAAUCUAAAGUAUUUCUCUAUAAAAAUGAGAAUUUUCCAAAAUAGAAUUUUUGAGAAUGUUAUUUUAAAAUAUAACAUAUUGAUAAAAAAUCUAAAAGAAUACUCAUCUAUCAACAAUUUUUUUAUUAUCCUAGUUUCAAAUCACAAUCCCAAAUCUAAAAUAUUUCUCUAUAAAAAUGAAAAAUAAUCGAAAAUAGCAUUUUGAGAAUUUUAUUUUUAAAAAAUACAACAUAUCGAUCAAAAAAUGAAAAAAAAAACUUAUCUAUCAACAAAAACUCUUGUUAUCCUAAUUUCUAAAUCACA